CAAUAAUUGUAACGAAAAUCAUUUUAUUAUUAUCUUCAGUGGAUUCGAUAAUGCAAAGAUUAAUAUUAAGUUCGCUGUCAAAAACUUAUCAUGGAAAAAGAAGUAUGUCUGCUGAGGUUAACGUUGCACAUGUUCGCGAGAAAGCUAGAUUAUGGAGAAACGUAUUUUUUUAUGUUUUUUGCCCUUUGACAAUCUUAACUCAUAUUCAUGUGUAUAUUGCUAAGAAAAAAACACAUGGUCACAGGCCACCUUACAAAGAAUAUUCAUAUAUGAGAAAGAUUUCAAAGCCAUUCUUCUGGAAAGAUGGAAAAACUCCUUUGUUUUACAAUCCCUAUUAUAAUCCUUUGCCAGGUGUGGGCUAUGUUACUGAUGAACCUCCUAACCAUUAAUACUUAGCCAAAGUGCUAAAUAAUCUUUAUGUUUUUAUUUUGAUCAAAAUUAUAAAAAAAAUAUUAUCGGUUAGUUAUUUUAUUUAUUUGGAAUAAAGGUUAUUGUGUUUAAA